UACGAGGGGUGCAAGCGUUAAUCGGAAUUACUGGGCGUAAAGCGCGCGUAGGCGGCUUGAUAAGUCGGAUGUGAAAGCCCUGGGCUCAACCUGGGAACUGCAUUCGAUACUGUCGAGCUAGAGUAUGGGAGAGGAGAGCGGAAUUCCUGGUGUAGAGGUGAAAUUCGUAGAUAUCAGGAGGAACACCGGUGGCGAAGGCGGCUCUCUGGACCAAUACUGACGCUGAGGCGCGAAGGCGUGGGUAGCAACCAGGAUUAGAAACCC
rnacentral:rRNA from 1 species